UGGGGAAUAUUGGACAAUGGGCGAAAGCCUGAUCCAGCCAUGCCGCGUGUGUGAAGAAGGUCUUCGGAUUGUAAAGCACUUUAAGUUGGGAGGAAGGGCAGUAAGCGAAUACCUUGCUGUUUUGACGUUACCGACAGAAUAAGCACCGGCUAACUCUGUGCCAGCAGCCGCGGUAAUACAGAGGGUGCAAGCGUUAAUCGGAUUUACUGGGCGUAAAGCGCGCGUAGGCGGCUAAUUAAGUCAAAUGUGAAAUCCCCGAGCUUAACUUGGGAAUUGCAUUCGAUACUGGUUAGCUAGAGUGUGGGAGAGGAUGGUAGAGUUCCAGGUGUAGCGGUGAAAUGCGUAGAGAUCUGGAGGAAUACCGAUGGCGAAGGCAGCCAUCUGGCCUAACACUGACGCUGAGGUGCGAAAGCAUGGGGAGCAAACAGG
rnacentral:rRNA from 1 species